GGAUGUGAGGGUAAUCUGGAUGCAACAUCUGUCACCCCAUUGAUUCAGCUGAUCUGGCUGGCUAGGCAGGUGUCCCCUUCCUACCUCACCACUCCAUGUGUGUCCCUACCUUCUGAAAGCUACGCACUCAGUCAAAAAGGAUGACCCUCCCCAAUAGAGGAAGACUGUUCUUUGGUCAAGGGUAUACUAGUAGCUACACUCCCCUGCUAGAACCUUCUUACAAGCUCUCAGUAUACGUAGAUUCUUAACAUCUGCACAUUAAUUUUAUAAAUUGCUAUUAAAUAUGUUUCAUUCAGCUGGAUUU
rnacentral:snRNA from 1 species